UGGAGUGGUUCUGACCAGACUACAGAGAAUGCACAAGGCUAUGCUCCCAGCCUGUCAGAAUGACAACCUUGCAGGCUGCAACCCUUUAAGAGAAACAAAGCUCUCCUCUCCACAUUUAUGAGCCUGUCAUCCUCAUUCUUCAGUUGCCACACUAAGGAAAGAGCCCUGGAGAUGAAGGAGAGUUGUUUGAAAAAGGAAGAGGAAAAAGAAAAAUUAAAAAAAGAAAAAAUGAAGAAGAAGGGGAAGAUAAGGAGAAACAGAAGAAAAAGAAGAAAUAAUAUAUGGCCUGCAAAACCUAAAAUACUUUCAGAAAAUAUCUGUCUAUCUCUGCUAUAGAAGACUGGCAAGGGACAUUUAACAUACAGAUAAUUGGCUUCCCCAAUGAAGAACAUGAAAGUGAUGGAAAAAACAAGCAUUUAAAACUAUAGUCCAAGAAAAUUUUCAUGAAAUAAAAGACUUGUAAAUGCAAGCUGACACCUAGUGAAAGGGUCCAUUGUGUACCUACAAAAUUUGAUGCGGUGUGGUCCACGUGGAGAGAAAGUCUAGUAAACAUUUUGAAAUGAAUAUGUGUGUGUGUGUAAAGGGAGCUGUUGUCCUAUUUUUAUUAGUAACAGCUCCUUCUUUUACAUUCUCAAGUGUCUUACUUUGAACAAUAAAUUAUAAGGUUAUCCUACUAGAAAGAGAGUAGCUUUAGCCUUUCAAUACCAACAUUGCAUAGCAGAAGUCACAUAGAAUUAUGUUAAAUAUGUCAAAGGAAAGAAAAUAUAACCAUGG
rnacentral:lncRNA from 1 species